AGUGGUCUGAGAGGACGAUCACCCACACUGGGACUGAGACACUGCCCAGACUCCUACGGGAGGCUGCAGUCGAGGAUCAUUGUCAAUGCGCGAAAGCGUGAACAUGCGACGCUGCGUGGAGGAUGACGGCCUACGGGUUGUAAACUCCUGUCAUUCGGGAAAAAUGGUCCCGUUCCUAAUAUGGGCGGGAUUUGAUGGUACCGGAAGAGGAAGCCACGGCUAACUCUGUGCCAGCAGCCGCGGUAAUACAGAGGUGGCGAGCGUUGUUCGGAUUUACUGGGCGUAAAGGGUGCGUAGGUGGCUUUGUGUGUUGGAUGUGAAAUCCCACGGCUCAACCGUGGAAUUGCAUUCGAAACUGCAGGGCUAGAGUGCAGGAGGGGAGAGCGGAAUUCUAGGUGUAGCGGUGAAAUGCGUUGAUAUCUAGAAGAACACCGGUGGCGAAGGCGGCUCUCUGAAAUGUUACUGACACUGAGGCACGAAAGCUGGGGGGGCAAACAGGAUUAGAUACCCUGGUAGUCCCAGCCGUAAACGGUGCGCACUUGGUGUAGGGGGUAUUGACCCCCCCUGUGCCGGAGCUAACGCGUUAAGUGCGCCGCCUGGGGAGUACGGCCGCAAGGCUAAAACUCAAAGAAAUUGACGGGGGCCCGCACAAGCGGAGGAGCAUGUGGCUUAAUUCGAUGCAACGCGAAGAACCUUACCAGGGCUUGACAUGCAGCUGCUUCCCCCCUGAAAGGGGGGGGUCCUUCGAGGGUGCUGCACAGGUGCUGCAUGGCUGUCGUCAGUUCGUGCCGUGAGGUGUUGGGUUAAGUCCCGCAACGAACGCAACCCUUGUGUUUAGUUGCCACCGGAGGUGAUGAGCCUUCGAGCACUCUAGACAGACUGCCCGUACAAGCGGGAGGAAGGUGGGGAUGACGUCAAGUCAGUAUGGCCCUUACGCCCUGGGCUGCACACGUGCUACAAUGGCUAGUACAGAAGGAUGCAAUACCGCGAGGUGGAGCGAAUCCCGAAAGCCAGCCCCAGUUCGGAUUGGAGUCUGCAACUCGACUCCAUGAAGUUGGAUUCGCUAGUAACGGCGUAUCAGCUACGACGCCGUGAAUACGUUCCCGGGCCUUGUACACACCGCCCGUCACAUCAUGAAAGCCGUCUGGACCCGAAGUCGUUGAGCUAACCCGCAAGGGAGGCAGGUGCCGAAGGUCUGGGUGGUGAUUGGGAUGAAGUCGUAACAAGGUA
rnacentral:rRNA from 1 species